UACGUAGGCAGCAAGCGUUGUUCGGAGUUACUGGGCGUAAAGGGUGUGUAGGCGGUUGUUUAAGUUUGGUGUGAAAUCUCCCGGCUCAACCGGGAGGGUGCGCCGAAUACUGAAUAACUAGAGUGCGGGAGAGGAAAGUGGAAUUCCUGGUGUAGCGGUGAAAUGCGUAGAUAUCAGGAGGAACACCUGCGGUGUGAGACGGCUUACGUGGACCAUCACUGACGCUGAGGCACGAAAGCGUGGGUAGCAAACAGG
rnacentral:rRNA from 1 species